UGGAAAAAAAUAGUCUAAAAAAUAAGGCUUUUUAGAUAAAUUUUCCCCUAGUCCAGAAUUAUGCUAAAAAGGUUUCUGAGGUUAUAUUUUUUAAUCGAAAUUUAAGUUUUAGUUAAGCAGCCACGAACACUACCAGCAGCAAAUAGGAUAAAGGAGCAUGCCGAUAAAUUCGUCACAUUUAUUAUUCUACUUUAAUUUUUUCAAUUUAUUCUAUUAACAUACAUAUUAUGUAGUUUAUAUUUUUUUUUGUCGUAGUAAAGUAUAAAUCAAUCAAAUUAAGACGAACAAUUCAGAACUCAAUGAAUUAUUUGAUUCGGACAUUAUAAAUUUUAAACUGUCACUGUCGGAUAAAUUUAGAAAUCAAAACUGAAUCCCAAAAUAAUUGGCUCUCAACUAAGGACCGGUAUGACGUAAUGUUUGUAUUUUUUCAUCUAAAUCGAUCAACGGGCAAUGUUUGUACAACAUUAAUUUCUUAUCAUGUGUAACCGUUUGUUACUGCUUUUUAUGUGAUUCCGCCACAAAAUCCUACCACUCCUGUACUCCGUUGAGAGUAAUACCACAGUAGAUCCAAUUCCUCUUUCCUAAACGCCUAAAUGCAGGCACUUUUCUCUGAGGGAUAUCCAUGGGCGUCGGGUUUAGGCAGGGUACAUGCCGGGGAAGUGUGAUCACCCGGAGAGCGAACACACCCGCGUAAAAAUUACAUUCUCCUUCGUAUGUGUGUCGGUCAAAUGUAACGUAGAUUUUUGCACAUGCGGGGCUAGUUCUUUCUGCCUGUGACCGUUUCAGAGAACGGAAGUGCGCGUCAUUAUUAGUGCGUAAAAUUUGUAAAACAUUGUGGUGUAAAUGUUUAAAAAGUUUUCCUAAAAUUACAGAAAAAAGUAGCCAAGUAAAACCGCAGCAAGGAUUACAGUGGCUUACAUUAGUUAAAAACCUAGUUACCUUAUAAACUAAAAGUUAAAAAAGAAAUAGUACGGUUAGUAGAAGCUAUGAUGUAGUGUAAAAAUGUUAAAACUUAAUUAAAUGUAUUAAAUGUAUUAAAUGUAUUAAAUAGAUAAAAAGUGGUUGACAAUACAAAAACCACAUACAGUGUAAAACCGCAGUCGACGAAACACAACAUUAAAAAGGUCCAAGAGGGCCUUUUUGUGUUUCUAUCCCAUUUGCUUAACAGCACGGCGCAGCAGAAAAACUAAACGGGCAGAAAGGAGCGGUCGGAAAGCCAAAAUCCGACUGACAAACACAUCAGCACGUCCCCUCGUGGUGAAUAACCAAACUACGGUGGUGACAUCCUGCAGAGGAUCGUGGGCUCUUCCGGGACGCCGGUAAAGAGCCUGUGAUACCCUGGGCGGCACUGGAACAACCAUCCGUCCAGCCCUGCUCCACAAAGACUCGACCAACAUCAGCCGUACGCAAAAGGGUUCAACGGAAGACGAAACUUCAAUCGGCCGGCCAAAUGUGCGAAAGAACCGCAAGUAUACACAUGUGAAGAAACCCAUUUAGGGAAACCAAAUUUAUAAAUAAACCCCCACAAAUUAUGUAAAACCA